AGUGUUGCUGAUUGGCUGGUUUGAACGAUGCUGUGCAGGCUGUUGUGGCGCGUGGCUCCAACCGUCACCUUCAGGGCGGGGGCCCCCUCCCUCACCCCCGGGACCCAGUUCCCCGUGCCGGCCCGGGCCUCCCCCUACCCGGCCCGGGGCCUCAGGCAGCCCCCUUGGGCCGCAGCCUGUCUGCUCCUCGCCGCCGGUCGCCGCGCUUUCUGUAGCGGGGCAAGCGGCUGCUGGCGGUGCGGGGCAGAGCGGGCCGAGGCGGCGGAGGAGGACGGCUCGGCCUUUUUCUGCCCGUCCUGCCGGGCCCUGCAGCCCCCGGACCGGCGCCGCGACUACUUCCAGUUGCUGGGCCUCCCGCGCCGCUACCGUCUGCAGACCGAGCAACUGCGGCGGAGGCUACGCCAUCUACAGCGGGAUCUGCACCCAGACAACUUCAGCCGCGGCUCCGAGGACGAGCGCCGCUUCUCGGAGGAGCAGUCAGCGUUGGUCAACGAGGCUUACGGGACUCUGCUGAGGCCUCUGUCCCGGGGCCUGUACCUCCUGCGGCUGGAGUUACCGGGGGAAGCCGGCGUAGGCGAGGAGGUGGAGAGCGGGGCGGCCGGCGGCGGUGGAGAUCCCGCCUUCCUGGCUGCCGUCCUCCACCUCAACGAGCGGCUGGAAGAGGCCCGAGGCCCGGAGGAGAUCGAGGAGGUGUCCAAGGAAGUGGAGGCCCGGCUCCGGGAGCUGGACGAGGAGGUGGCCCGGGCCUUCGAAGCGGGACGCCCGCGGGAAGCUCUCCCGCUCCUGAAGCAGAUGCGAUAUUGGAGUAGCCUCGGGGAUCGGAUAAAGGAGCGUCUGCUGCCCCGUUGAGAGCCUCCUGGGGAGGAAACCCACGCAGACAGAGGGAGAACCACUCGAGACAUGUAGAUCCUUGAUCAAAAUGCCUACUGUAACCCAUUACAAUGAAUGAGCUCUCCAGGGUGAAGCCUUUUGCUGUCUAACAUGGGUGUCCAUGGAUUGAUGACCUACAUUGGAGAAAAUCAUAAUUUUUUUAAUAAUGUCAAGAUACAAAAUACAAAAAUUGUGAUCGAUGGCAAUAGCUUAUUUCAUAGACUUUACUUUGAUUCUGGUCUCGAUCUUCAGUGUGGAGGUGAAUAUGAUUUGUUUACCGACGUCAUCUGCAAAUUUUUUGAGGCCUUGUCUCUCUGUAAUAUUGCGCCAUAUGUAGUGUUUGAUGGUGGAUGCGAUUUCACCGAUAAGAAGUUCGAAACUCUCAAACAGCGGGCCAGGGAAAAAAUCCAAAAAGCACGUGUCAUCUCUAGAGGUGGUGGAGGAAUGCUGCUACCGCUGCUGAACCCUGAAGUUUUUAAACAAGUUUUACUGCAGUUGCAAAUACCUUUCGUCCAAUGUCAUUCAGAAGCAGACCGUGAUAUUGUAACUCUCGCUAAUCAGUGGACCUGCCCUGUUGUGACGUUAGACAGUGACUUCUGUAUCUUUGAUUUGAAGGCUGGUUAUUGUCCUCUCAAUUACUUUAAGUGGCAAGACAUAAUUACUCCAAACGACCAUUCUGGAUCCUACAUUUUGGCCCAAUGUUUCUCCGUUGACAAUUUCUGUAAACAUUUUAAUCUCGUUAACAAAGCCCUACUGCCUCUGUUUGCAGUGUUGAAUGGCAACGAUUACGUGAAUAUACCUCCCUUGGAGACUUUUCUCUCCCGAGUGCAUAUCAAUGCAAAGACAUCUUGUUCAGCAGGAGGGAAAAAUAUGCGGAUUCAAGGGCUUCUGAACUGGCUGUCCAAGUUUUCUGAUCCAAAGGAGGCUAUAGAAAACAUUCUUAAAUGUCUAAAACAAAAUGAACGUGAAGAGAUCCGAAAAAUUCUCUGCUCUCUUAUCGAUGAAUAUACUCAGUCAGAAGUGGAUCUUACAAAGUUCUUUCAAAAUAAAGACUUAAGAGCUCAUGUUCCCAUUGCCUUGGCCAGCAAAGCCCCAGAAUGGAUGUGCCUUGCCCUAAUGAAAGGAGAGUUAGCCCCUUUUCUUAGUGACUGCUUGAUCUUAAAGAGAGCAUUUUUGCACAAUCAGGUGGAGAAUGCUAGCAGACCCAGCAGUAAUAGAUGUUCAUUGUAUAUUCGUCAGGUCAUUUAUGGACUGUUGCUGUGUACCAGCGAGCCUUGUCCUGAUCUAACGUUGGAUUUAUCAAGUAGGGUUUCAGUACAGGCAGGCAUUGGUGAAGAAAGACUCGGCAAAAUGCCUUGUGUGGAUGAAUUUGAUAGAUACGAACAAACACUGAGAAAAUCUAGUGUCCAAGCGGUGCUGAAAACAUUCAACGCAAAUGAAAACUAUUCAUUGCAAAGACUACCUGAGGUGAAUGUGCAUCAAAAAUUUAAAGUGAGAGAUAUUGGAACUGAAUAUGUAUUAUAUUACAGACUGUCACAGAUUGAAGUGAUUUCUAGCUUUAACGUUACUUGGAACUAUUUUAGAUAAGGAGUACGGGGGGUCCCUGAUUUACUGAUUCCCUGAUCCCAUAUAGGGAAUUUUAAAUAUCUGACAUACAAACAUUUCCUGUACUUGUGAACUGUUACUUUAUAUUGAUCUGCAUUUUGUUCUGACUUGCAAAAAGAAUCAGGAACUGCAACUGUUCCCAACCCAGGUAUUGCCUGUAUCUCCCUGAUAACAUCUGUCUGCUGAAAUUAAGCUAAUCAAUCCCACAAAACUUAGCCUAGUAUCUGAGGGACUCACCGGGGAAGAAACUACCCAAGAUUGUAACUUUCCUCCAAACAGCCUGUUUAUUUUUAAUAAACUUGAUGUGCUAUAAACAUCCAGA